rnacentral:rRNA from 1 species
GAGUUUGAUCCUGGCUCAGGACGAACGCUGGCGGCGUGCCUAACACAUGCAAGUCGAACGGAGUUGAAAGGAGCUUGCUUUUUUCAACUCAGUGGCGGACGGGUGAGUAACGCGUGAGUAACCUGCCUUUCAGAGGGGGAUAACGUUCUGAAAAGAACGCUAAUACCGCAUAAGAUUGUAGCUUCGCAUGGAGCAGCAAUCAAAGGAGCAAUCCGCUGAAAGAUGGACUCGCGUCCAAUUAGCUAGUUGGUGAGGUAACGGCCCACCAAGGCGACGAUUGGUAGCCGGACUGAGAGGUUGAACGGCCACAUUGGGACUGAGAUACGGCCCAGACUCCUACGGGAGGCAGCAGUGGGGAAUUUUGCGCAAUGGGGGAAACCCUGACGCAGCAACGCCGCGUGCGGGACGACGGCCUUCGGGUUGUAAACCGCUUUCAGCAGGGAAGAAAUUCGACGGUACCUGCAGAAGAAGCUCCGGCUAACUACGUGCCAGCCGCCGCGGUAAUAC